rnacentral:lncRNA from 1 species
UACCGUCAACAGUGUUUAAAAUCGUGGUGGUGUAUUGUGGUCGUCUGCUUAAGCAUUCUAGAUUCGGCUUUGUUUUCAGUGGAUACAAACGCAUAUAUGGUACGGAUAGUGCGCUGUUUUGCGGAGCAUUUUGCAAGUUUUUAAUUUUUAUUAUAUGUGAAAUGUUAUAUUUUGCACGCAAGGAUAUUUAUUGAACAAGAUCGUAUGGAAGAACUGGAUUAUGUGGAGUAAAUAACAGUCGAAUGUUCGGCCAAGGAUGGAGAAGAGGACUCUGGUGAAGAGGGCGCCGUCCUCCAAGCACUGUCCCGGAUAUGUCCCCCACUUCUGGAGCUUCCUACAGCCAUUUUUCAACUACUCAUUGAACGUUCCAUUAGGAUUAUCUAUUCUUACCAAACAAGGCAAAAGAAGUUCAAAUGAACCACUUUUUUAGAAGAUUUACCAGCCAGUGAAAAACGAGGAAGCAUCUAAGACAAGAUUAUACUUCUACAGGUUUUUCUUCGCUUCUUCGUGUGACCCGUACUUCCAAUUUACCGUGUUCAGUUCUCAUCCAGUUUCUCCUAAGAUCAGCAGAUCAUAAAUUAUCCGUUUACGCACUUACCUGAAUCACGACUGCUUCAUUAAAGGUUUCAAAAAUGCCUCAACGAUUGUUUUCCAGAUACCAAUUUUCUGCAAUUACCAUCCAUGCAAGAAAAGAAUAAACCGCCUGGACACGCGCGCUGAGGUCAAAAUAUGUAUAGAAUCUUUCUGCCCCGCCUACCAUCUACUUGAGUUCUUAACAUGUAAAAUAUAUGCAUCUUUUUUGUUUGAUUUAAUUGUCUGAAAAAAAAAAGAGUUAUGAUAAAAUUUAAUAGA